rnacentral:rRNA from 1 species
GAUGAACGCUAGCUACAGGCUUAACACAUGCAAGUCGAGGGACCGGCGCACGGGUGAGUAACCCGUAUCCAACCUGCCCUUUACUCGGGGAUAGCCUUUCGAAAGAAAUAUUAAUACCCGAUAUAAAGGAUGGGGAUGCGUUCCAUUAGGUUGUUGGUGAGGUAACGACUCACCAAGCAUUCGAUGGAUAGGGGAUCUGAGAGGAAGGUACCCUACAUUGGAACUGAGACCCGGUCUCAAAUCCUACGCGAGGGAGGAGUAAGGAGUAUUGGUCAAUGGACUCUAACCUGACCCAGCCAAGUAGCUUGAAGGAUGAAGGCUUAUGGGUCGUAAACUUCUUUUAUAGAAGAAUAGGUAUUAUAUGAAUAAGGAUCGGCUAACUCCGUGCCAGCAGCCGCGGUAAUUC